rnacentral:lncRNA from 1 species
CUACCACGGACAUGGGCACCUGCCACUAGACCUCAAAGGCCCAUCCAACUCAGCUUUGAACAUUUCCAUUGAUGGAGCAUCCACAACCUCCCUGGGCAACCCGUUCCAUUGCCUCACCACCCUCACCAUGAAAAAUUUCCUUACAUCCAAUGUAAAUCUACCCUCGUUCAUUCUUAAACCAUUGCUCCUGCUUCUCUGCCCACCAGGGUGAAGGAGGCUGGUGGGGCCAACGGCUUUGGGGCUCUGACACCGUGUUCAUGUCAGCCUGGCCCCUUGCCUCUGUUCUUCUCUAAUACUGCUGGAAGAGCAGGAGAUGCUCAGACAGCAAGGAGUGAGCUGACUCGUGCUUGGAUAUUCCCUCCUGCCCAGAGGUAUCAAGUGGAAUGAAUAAUUCACUAUCUGAUCAUCUCUAAUCUUCAUCCCAUAAAAUCGGCAGCAAGCUGGGAGUGUUUUGAAGCCUCCAGCUGCAUUUGCUGAUAAGACACAAGGCUGGAAAGAUUGGAAGCCCAUAAAAAUGAUAAUCUCAGGCUUCUGUGUAACUUGGUGGAAGGGGUUUCUCCUGUCCUUUCAUUAAGGAUGGAUUUCAUGAUCUUCCUUAAAUAACAACAUGCCUUCUUACGAGGAAUCUCCAGUCUGAAAACUGAUUGCAUCACCAUUAGGAAGCAGGAGACCAAUAAGGCAGAGAAAAGCAGCAGGACUGUGGGUUGUGGCAAGUCCAUACAGAGCAAAAGGCCCCAGCCUCUGUAGGCUGUGAGGAAAAUUAGGUUGCUUUGCCUGUCUUGAUGGUGGUCCGUACUAAGUUGUGGUGUAUGGAGGGCAGCAUCCUUCGGAAGGAGAAACACCAACGAUGCCUUUGGCGAAAACUGAGUGGAGAAGAGACCGGGCUGCCCUGGAGCGUGGCUUUCCCAAAGAGGUUGUAAUUAAAG